rnacentral:rRNA from 1 species
UAGGGUUUGAUCCUGGCUCAGAACGAACGCUGGCGGCAGGCCUAACACAUGCAAGUCGAGCGCGCCCUUCGGGGUGAGCGGCGGACGGGUUAGUAACGCGUGGGAACGUACCCAGAUCUACGGAAUAGCCUUUGGAAACGAAGAGUAAUACCGUAUACGCCCUUCGGGGGAAAGAUUUAUCGGAUUUGGAUCGGCCCGCGUUAGAUUAGAUAGUUGGUGGGGUAAUGGCCUACCAAGUCUACGAUCUAUAGCUGGUUUUAGAGGAUGAUCAGCAACACUGGGACUGAGACACGGCCCAGACUCCUACGGGAGGCAGCAGUGGGGAAUCUUAGACAAUGGGCGCAAGCCUGAUCUAGCCAUGCCGCGUGAGUGAUGAAGGCCUUAGGGUCGUAAAGCUCUUUCGCCAGGGAUGAUAAUGACAGUACCUGGUAAAGAAACCCCGGCUAACUCCGUGCCAGCAGCCGCGGUAAUACGGAGGGGGUUAGCGUUGUUCGGAAUUACUGGGCGUAAAGCGCGCGUAGGCGGACCAGAAAGUUGGGGGUGAAAUCCCGGGGCUCAACCCCGGAACUGCCUCCAAAACUCCUGAUCUAGAGUUCGAGAGAGGUGAGUGGAACUCCGAGUGUAGAGGUGAAAUUCGUAGAUAUUCGGAAGAACACCAGUGGCGAAGGCGGCUCACUGGCUCGAUACUGACGCUGAGGUGCGAAAGUGUGGGGAGCAAACA